rnacentral:lncRNA from 1 species
GCGUCGCCGGGGCGGGUCCCCCUCAAAGCCCUGGGGGACUCGUGCCCGGAAGGGGGGGCGGCGCCCACAGGCUCCUUCGCUGGCAGGGCCUCCAGCUCCGUAGAAUGCGAGAACUGGAAAGUGACAGGACCCAUGCUCCAUAGCCUAACUCCAGUAUCUCCUAGAAAGAAUCGCCCUGCUUGCAGCACCUGGCCUCGAUCUGCCGCAGGACAUCCAGACCUUCCGUGACCUCCCCGAACACCACGUGCUUGCCAUCCAGCCAAUCCAUCUUGUCACACGUCAGGAAGAACUGGGAGCCAUUGGUGUUGGGGCCAGAGCUGGCCAUGGAGAGCAGGCCUGCUGUCAGGGCAACAACGUCUAAACGCAGCAGCAUGUGGAUGCGGCCGCCGGCUUGUUCCCGAUCUUGAUGUCCUUGUACACCUGAGGAUUUGACCAGGCCUUUUUGGCAGCGGCCUCUCCCUGCAGACCCCAGUUCAGAGGCAAACCAUAGGAGACUCUUAACUACAGAAAACAAACUGAGGAUUGCUGGAAGUGAGGGUCACCUCCUGGUCCACAAUGGCUUCUUCCCCUGUUGGCUAGCAUGUUCAUAUUCUAGACAGCAGGUAAGAGAGAAGGCCAAAGGAGAAAAGAGAUCACGAGCCAGGGGCUUUUUGAAGUUUCUUGGAAGGAACUCUCAUGCUGUAUGGAGAGACAAGCCAGGGCAAGCAAACUUAGUAAAAGGAAUGUGUCACAUGUGCUUAAGGCUGCUAGUGCUGUUUGUCAUUUCUUGCAAAAGCCUGGUGAAGCUUUAGUUGCUGGUAAGUAGAGCUUGAAGUUCAUCUGUUCAUGGAAACAUUAAGCCUAGACUAAAGAAUUGCUGUCAUUUUAGCUAGUACCUCGUUUUCUAUACUUUAAAAAUAUAAACUGUUCUUAAUCAUUUUUACAAUCAUUUUUAUGACUGUUAUCUGUGUUGGAAAACACUAGGGAAAAUAAUAAUAAUAAUCUGAAUUCUAGAUUUUUGGGCACUGUUGUAAAUUUCUAGGUGUUUUUGUUUGAUAUUUUUAAAAUUACUUAAUUGGAAAGAAGAUCAAGAGAAAACAAUGUUUCAAAACAUUUGCAGUUCUUGAUAUAUGACUCAGAAAUGAGUAAGGCUAGGGAUAGGUUUGUUUGAUGUGCCAAAAUAUAUUUUAACGUUGCAUGAAAAAAACCCAGCUCUUUAAUGUUGGAUCUCAGGAGUCUCACUAAAUAUUUUUUUGAUGAAAUAGAUAAGACCAUUAUAGACUCUGGGCUCUAGUCCUUGGGCUCGUUUGUUUGUGGGUAUAAACAUGCCCUUUUUCUUUUGAAACUUUUGGAGAAUAUUUUCCAGAUACAGUUUUUAUUCAUUUUAGACACUGAAAAUAUAUGUCUAGUUUAUACAGAUCUGUG